rnacentral:misc_RNA from 1 species
UUUCCGUAGGUGAACCUGCGGAAGGAUCAUUACAGUAGUCACCCAGGUUGCCGCAAGGCCUCCUGGGUAACCUACCACCCUUUGUUUAUUACACUUUGUUGCUUUGGCAAGCCUGCCCUCGGGCUGCUGGCUCCGGCCGGCGAGCGCUUGCCAGAGGACCUAAACUCUGUUUGUCUAUACUGUCUGAGUACUAUAUAAUAGUUAAAACUUUCAACAACGGAUCUCUUGGUUCUGGCAUCGAUGAAAGAACGCAGC